rnacentral:rRNA from 1 species
UACGGGAGGCAGCAGUGGGGAAUAUUGCACAAUGGGCGAAAGCCUGAUGCAGCUAUGCCGCGUGUAUGAAGAAGGCCUUAGGGUUGUAAAGUACUUUCAUCGGGGAGGAAAAACAAAACUAAUAAUUUUAUUUCUUGACGUUACCCGAAAAAGAAGCACCGGCUAACUCCGUGCCAGCAGCCGCGGUAAUACGGAGGGUGCUAGCGUUAAUCAGAAUUACUGGGCGUAAAGAGCACGUAGGUGGUUUUUUUAAGUCAGAUGUGAAAUCCCUGGACUUAACCUAGGAACUGCAUUUUGAAACUGAAAUACUAGAGUAUCGUAGAGGGAGGUAGAAUUCUAGGUGUAGCGGUGAAAUGCGUAGAUAUCUGGAGGAAUACCUGUGGCGAAAGCGGCCUCCUAAACGAAUACUGACACUGAGGUGCGAAAGCGUGGGGAGCAAACAGGGAUUAGAUACC